CGUGGGUAACCUGCCCAAGAGACUGGGAUAACACCUGGAAACAGAUGCUAAUACCGGAUAACAACACUAGACGCAUGUCUAGNGUUUAAAAGAUGGUUCUGCUAUCACUCUUGGAUGGACCUGCGGUGCAUUAGCUAGUUGGUAAGGUAACGGCUUACCAAGGCAAUGAUGCAUAGCCGAGUUGAGAGACUGAUCGGCCACAUUGGGACUGAGACACGGCCCAAACUCCUACGGGAGGCAGCAG
rnacentral:rRNA from 1 species